GACAGAGGCCCCGAGCGUUAGGCGGAAUCACUGGGCUUAAAGCGUGUGUAGGCGGACCGGUAAGUACCUUGUGAAAUCCCACGGCUCACCCGUGGAACUGCCGGGUAUACUGCCGGUCUCGGGCCAACUAGGGGCAACUGGAACAAGCGGUGGAGCGGUGAAAUGCGUAGAUAUCGCUUGGAACGCCGAAGGUGAAAACAGGUUGCUGGGGUUGUGCCGACGCUGAGACACGAAAGCCAGGGGAGCGAACGGG
rnacentral:rRNA from 1 species